CUCUGCUUAGCCUCCUGCCUAAAAAGGCAGUUCCUGAGCUCUCUAAUCUCCAGGAGUAGAAUUCCACAGAACAUACAACCCUUUAAGACGGCAAGCAUCUAGAGACAGAGCUCACAGCUUUCUCCACCUCCACGGAACAACAGGAGGCCAAUGUUACUUCAGAUGAUUCCCUCACCUGUCCACUCCAACUACUAAAAGACAGAUGAAGAUUGAAGCAAAUGCCACUACACAUCUGAAGCUUCAGAACUUGCCAUGUGAUAUGGAAGACAAAUGAAGCCAGUCAGCAAUGUCAAGGUUUGAAGUGGUGGUCCAUUGAAAGCACUGGGUCUUACAAGCCUGAGAAGUAGCACGUAAAGUGACUAUGCUGUGGUUUUGUUGCAGAUGCCAGUACUCUUGUGUGAAGUUUUGAAGCGUCAGAUGAACUUGGAUGAAAACUUCUUCUUUUCAAAGGCUGAAUCAUUUUAGGAUGUGGAGCUAAAGUUAAAUGAUAUUUUUGAGGAUAUGAGUAUUAUACUAUGCAAACCACAGACAGGAUAAGAAUUGUUUACACAAUAUUAUUAUACUGUUACAUAUCUAUUGAGAUAGGUCUCAGUCAUGA